rnacentral:tRNA from 1 species
CUUGACCAUGGUGUAGACGGCGGUGCUCUUCGCGUUGACGCCGUCGGUGUUGUAGUCGUUGUAGCAGAGUUUGGCGUUCGGGUCGGCGGCCCGGGCC